rnacentral:lncRNA from 1 species
UUUAAUGUUUGUUUUCUACUCUAUUUCUCACUCGGCAUUUCUGAUUAUUCAAAGUUUUCCGACGAUUUUGCUUCUCUUUUCCAAACUAGGGUUUCUGACCCUUUUCAAAGUCGCUAUAUCUUCUGUUUUUUGAGUAUUAUGUGGUUGUUUAUGUUUAUUUACGUUACGAGCGUUUGGUUUCCUUGUUAAUUUUGAGUUCCAUGCUUAAACAUCCUGGCUAGGGUUUCGACCCUUUGUAUACCUUCUUAGGGUUCUUAGAACUCCAAGUCUAGUACGCUUUAUAGGCCUAAGUGUUCAUUAUUUAUGCAAUAUUGUGUUGAUUUUGAAUAUCCCUGUGAAUCUCUGAUUUGUAUAUAAUUUUCCUUAUACGUUCUUACUGAUUUCCUUUGAAUUAUUUCCUUAUUUGGGCAUUCUUUCUUUACUUAGGCAUUUCUCUCUGAUUUUUAGGUCUUGUCCGAGAUUCUUUAACCAAUUGGUCAAACUAGCUUAUAUUUUCCUUACCAUAUUUGUGCAUGAACAACCUUCAGUAUAUUUUCCCUAACUUAAGAUACUAUGUAUCUGACCCUUAUUGAAUAUUAUAUGCUUGCUACUCUUAAUAGGGUAAAUAUAGUUAAUUGAUUCCUUUCCUUUUGAACCCUCUGUUUGUUACCGUUUGCCCUUGACUCCUUGAUUAAAGGGGAACCCUGAUACUAAUUAGAUUCUUGAUUGAUACUAGUCCCUUAAUUAAAGGCUGUUGUUUGUUUAUGCAUUAGUCUUCUAGUACUAUAAAUACCCUCCCCUUUCUCUUUGAAAGAAACCAACAAACAUUACAUAUCUCUCACAACUUCAGACUCUCUGAAACUCUCUCUUUCAAUGUUAUUACUAUACUCUCUCAUUCUCUUAUUUCAACACUCAAUCGGCUGAAAGCCAAGAUUGAGUAGCCUGGGUUGAUUACUUCUACACUACUGGGUUCUACUGUUUGUUUACUUGGGUUUGUUGUUGCUGCUAUAUUGUUGCACGUUGUUACUCUCUUCACUGCUCACACACUCUGAUCACCUUGUUCCUCUGUGCACAAUUGCUCACUGCUAUUAUGUUCUAUUACUUGCAACUGGUAUCUCACCCGUUUAAGAUAUAGUUUCCAACGCAACAUGUUUCUAUUAAUUGUGCAUUUCAUAUCGUUUCUUGUGUGCUUUUACUUAUGGUUUUGUUGCUCUUUUUUUCACUAGCAUGCACUUACUAGUCUACUUAGUUUAGCUUAUCAUGCUCCUCUUACCCCUUCCAUGUCUCAAUGAAUGUUUUCAUUUCCCUUGUGCAUUACUACUAUGUGUGCAGGGCUACUUGGCUAUUUGGUUAGCCUAAAACCUCUAUUUGAGGCUAAGUGUAUAGGGGUUUGGUGCAGUAAGAACUGAACCCCAGUUCUGCAACCAUGUCUGAUUACUUUCCUCCAAUAUGUUGUAUGUAUGUGAGUAGUUCACUUUACUUAAAUGUUCCAUUCCCCUUUUCCCCUGUUAGUGAGAUGCUUUGAAAAGGUCCAAAUGAUUUCAGAAGAACUUUUUUUUUAACUCUUUCAACUAUUUUCCCAAACUGUCUCAAAUUUUUAACUGUUUUUAUCAAGCUGUCUCAACUUUUUUAACUGUUUUUCUCAAGCUGUCUCUCAAAUGUUUUUCAACUCUCUCAAUUCUAUCACGAUCUCACUACUCUUAUAACAUUAAGUUAUGCCCCCUUAGUGUAAGCAUUGCCUUGGGAGUCCUUGAGCACCCAUUGAACUUUGACGCACAAGGCUG